rnacentral:rRNA from 1 species
AGCGAACGUUUGCGGCGGGCUUAACACAUGCAAGUCGAACGAGAAUCCCUUCGGGGAGGAAAGUGGCGCACGGGUGCGUAACACGUGGAUAACCAACCCAUUGGUUUGGGACAACACCGGGAAACUGGUGCUAAUACCAGAUGUGUCGCAGCUGUCUUCAGGCGGUUGCGAGAAAGGCCCGCAAGGGUCGCCAACGGACGGGUCCGCGUCCCAUCAGCUAGUUGGUGAGGUAAUGGCUCACCAAGGCAAAGACGGGUAGCUGGUCUGAGAGGAUGAUCAGCCACACUGGAACUGAGACACGGUCCAGACUCCUACGGGAGGCAGCAGUGGGGAAUAUUGCGCAAUGGGCGAAAGCCUGACGCAGCCACGCCGCGUGAGCGAUGAAGGUCUUCGGAUCGUAAAGCUCUGUGGGGGGANAAGAAGAAAGCCGGUGAAGAGCCGGCCCUGACGGUAUCCCCUUAGCAAGCACCGGCUAACUCCGUGCCAGCAGCCGCGGUAA